UAACGGCAAACCGAUUGAAUUUACAAUCUGUCGGAAUAUAAAGACUUGGGGUCAAGAAAUUUUUGUCAUUCUAAUUUUUUUCUGUGUACAGGGAACAUUUGUAAUUGUUGUAACUUUGUCGUUGUGUGGCUUUUCUAAGUGUGUAAAAAUCUAGCUGUUUAAAAUGGUCGUUGCAGGCGGAGAAGAUAAAAAACUUUUUGUUGGUAUGUUAAAUAAGCAACAGACGGAAGACGAUGUAAGACAGUUAUUCCAGCCAUUCGGAACAAUAGAAGAAUGUACAAUCCUGAGAGAUCAGAAUGGUAACAGUAAAGGUUGUGCAUUUGUUAAAUUUACAACAGCAACAGAAGCCCAUUCAGCAAUUAGUGCUCUACACGGAAGUCAGACUAUGCCUGUAAGUUAUAACAAUGGUGCAUCAUCUAGUUUAGUAGUUAAAUUUGCUGAUACAGAAAAGGAAAGACAACUCAGACGCAUGCAGCAGAUGACUGGUCCCCUGGGUCUUCUGAACCCUUUUGCAAUUUCCAAUCUUGGUGCUUACGGAGCUUACGCUCAGAUUCCACAACAACAAGCAGCACUGAUGGCUGCUUCACAAGGAGCUUACUUGGCCAGUCCAGUAACCUCCCUGGGUCAUAUUCCACAGAUUGGGGCGCUGGCCGCACCCAAUGGUAUCUCUACCAAUGCACUGACCCCAACUACAGCCACACUGGCUCUUUCUAAUGGUGCUGCCACCUUAAAUGGUGCCCCUCCCAGUGUUUUGUCCCCCACAUCAAUGGCAGGUUUCCAAAUGCAACAGGCUAAUGGACAAACACCAGAGAUUUAUGCUAACGGUAUACCUCACUAUCCUGGUGAGUGCCAGCUUGUUGAUAUAGGUUAUGACCCGCAUUCACACUUUCAGACGUUGACAGCCCGUAACAUUUCUCUACCUGUUACAGCCCAGGUAGCCAAUGGUGAUCCUAUCCAGGCAUAUGCUGUCCAAGCUUAUCCAGGAAUUGAUAUGAAUAUUUCAGCUUACCCAGCUUUUGGGGCAAUCCAGCAAACACUUGCAGCACAGGCCGCACUAUUACCAACGGCUCAGAAGGAAGUUAUACUUACAGGUCCAGAGGGAUGUAACCUGUUCAUAUACCACCUGCCACAGGAGUUCGGAGAUGCAGAACUCGCUCAGAUGUUCAUGCCAUUCGGAACAGUUAUUAGUGCUAAAGUUUACGUUGAUCGUGCUACUAAUCAAAGCAAAUGCUUUGGAUUUGUCAGUUUUGAUAAUCCAACAAGCGCUCAGGCUGCUAUCCAGGCUAUGAACGGAUUCCAGAUUGGUAUGAAACGUUUGAAGGUACAGCUUAAACGCCCAAAGGAUGCCAACAGACCAUAUUAGACAGCAAUGUUCUUAAUCGCACAACUGGACAAGUCCAAAACUUCAGGACAUGUAGGGGUUACAGGAUAGUAAUAGAAAAAUGUAUACCCCAAAUGGGACCCCAAUGGCACAAGAGUACUUAAGAAGAGGCCUAAUCACAAGGUUAUUGGUUUGUUACCAGUUAUGGAACAAAUUUUGUAUAUAGACCCUUAUUUUUCACGAACGAAAUCCCACCAUUGUAGGUUUUGUAAAUACAUAGAAUAGAUAUACUUAAUUUAUUUAUCUUAGCAUUUAGUCCACCUUAAAUUAUUAAUUUGAAUACAAUUCAAAGUUUGAUUUUUUAUCAUGCCUUCUGUAAGCAUACAGUCUUGGUGAUUUUUUAGAAGUAUAACAUGUUAAAUUAAGCUAAGUAGAUGUAUUAGCCAUUGGUAUUGUGAAAGGAAAGAGAGAAGAAACAUACCAAAUUUCAAAAUUUAAUGCUGGUUACCGUCUACAGUUUUGUACAAUACGCAUCCAAUAUUAACAACUGAUAAGUGUGGUAUAUACAACCAAUUACGGUAUGUUUUUUAAACGUGAAUGAACAAUUUAAAACAUUUUAUAGAUUGUGUGCUUACAGAGGUGGACAAAAAAGAUUCUAUUUUAAGAAUUGUUAUGAAUAUUUAUAAGGAGAUUACUAUUUGUUUAUUUAUUAUGAUGUUAAAAAUUGAUAAUAUUUAUAUAUUUUACAAUCUUUGUUAAAGUUCAUGCCCUCUUCAAGCAGAGUUUAGAUGGAUUAAGUUCUUAAGACAUUCCAUUUUUAUAUUGGUAUGUAAAAUCUGUGAAACAGUUCAUUGUUAUGGAGUAAAAUUGUGUAUUUGUAAAGAUGUAUCUAUCUUUUUAAACUCUUGUGAGACAUACUUUUCUAUUGGUUGUUGUCUGUCACGUGACACAUUCAUUGUUGUCAUGGUAACCAAGGCAUUUAGGAUGUAUUAGAUAAGAUGAUUGGUCAAUUUAUUUAUUUUUUGUGACUAUGGUAACACCAAGUGUUGAAUGUUGUUGUUCAAUCACAUUUUAUAUUUGUCUUUUAAGGGGGUAGACCUAGGUUAAGGGAAAUAACUCAAAAUCAUCAGUACGUUUAAGUCAGCCAUUUUCAUAAAUACGUUCUAAGCUUCUAGGAUACAUAGAUUAUUUUCAAUCUGUUUCAGGUAAAUGCUUAAAAUACAUUAAUAAAACUUGACUUUUACAAACGCAUUACUGAAUUAAAGUGUUAUCUCCCUGGAUCAAGGUCUACCCCCUUAUGUAAAGUUUGGUAAUUAAAUAGCUUAAAUUUUAUCAUUUUAAUUUUAAAUUGAAGAGGGCAUUGAAUAAAAAUUAUUUUUGUAUAUAUUUCUCUUGCAUUCCUUAUUAAUAUGAAGUCAUGUUUAUUAUUUAUUGAAAACUUAUUUAUUUUAUUAUUCAUCAUAUUAUCAUUGAAUUAGAGAGCGUCCAUGACAUGGAUCAUCUGUAUCAUUGAGAUGUUUUAUAUUGUUGAAAAAAUGCUUGAUAAGUUGACAAAAAUGAUGAAAACUUUCUAUAACCUGGUUUAAAUUAAGUCCUGUAGGAAGUUAAAGAGAUUUAUAGCUUUCACUGGGUUUUGAAAAGAUUUCAUUGUUUUGUCAAACAUGGGGUGUAAAUGAUUGACAGUUUUAUAUCAUCAGAAAUAUUAAAGAUUCUAUUUUGUUAUUUUUGCUGUACAAAUUCCUUAAAAAUGAUACCAUAUUGAAAUAUAUAUAUUAAUUCUGGUUUUCAUACAAGACAUAUUUCAAAUAGACCAAAACUUAUAAUUUAGUUGAGAUUCAAAGUUCCACAUUAAAUCUGUUUCUUUUAUCUUGGAUAAUUUUGUUAUAAAAGGUUAUUUGCUUAAUUAUUUUUGCUAUUCUGCAUCCCUUAUAAAUCUAAUUCUGUAUGAAACUAAGGGAGAUAAUCCAUACAAACAAGGGGACAUAACUGCUAUCAGUCAGUUUCACAAGAAAUUAAACUUUAAAUGUGUGUAGGUUAUGUUUGUUGACAGAAUUGCAUAAACUAAGGGGACAUAAUCCAUACAAACAAGGGGACAUAAUCCAUACAAACAAGGGGACUUAACUGUUAUCAGUCAGUUUCACAAGAAAUUAAACUUUAAAUAUGUGUAGGUUAUGUUUGUUGACAGAAUUGCAUAAACUAAGGGGACAUAAUCCAUACAAACAAGGGGAAAUAACUGUUAUCAGUCAGUUUCACAAGAAAUUAAACUUUAAGUGUGUGUAGGUUAUGUUUGUUGACAGAAUUGAUAUAGUUUAUCUGAUCAGGAACUGUUACUGUUAAACUUUUGUUAUUUGGGUAUUCUGUUACUAUCGUUGUGAACAUAUUUUGAGCUUAAAAUUAUUGAGGCUCCCAUAAGGAUAAUUGUAAUUUAUUAUUAUUUGUGAUAAAAAAGAAAUGAAAUAAAGAAAAAUAGAAUACGAGUGGACUUAACAUGCUUGUAGAAAGUUGUCUCAUUGGCAAUCAUACCACAUCUUUUGAAUAAUAAAUGACCAUAUUUAGAUUAUCCCUUAUGGAGGCCUCACUGUUAUAAAAAGAAAUCGGGCCAGGUUGCAAUAAAAUGAGAGAACAUACUCCUUGCCAUGUUAAAACAUUGUAACGUAACUAGUCAAUUUCUGUAUACAAGUUAAUGAAUGAAAUGAUUAACAAAUUUAAUAUGUAAUCAUGGUUUUAGAUAUAAAUGAAAUGGUUAAAAAAUUUAAUAUUGUAAUCAUGGUACAAUGUAAUAGCAUAUUGUUAAAUUUCCACACAGUUAGUGCUUUAGAUGUAAGGGGACAUUUAUGCUUGGUGAGCAGCAGUCAUUCAUUUUUUUUUUUUUUUUAUCAAUUUAACUCUGCUUGGGGGUUACUUCCCCUGUUGAAAAAAAAAACAGUUAACUUUCAUUUACUUUUUAUAGUAAAUAUUCCACAUUGUAAUUUAGAAAAUAAUUAUAUUUCACAUGAAUACAUUUUAAUAUUUAUUUGUUAAGUUUGGCAUUUGAUAGAAUCAACACAAAAUUUGCAAUUGCUGAAAUUCUUGAACAUGAAUUUAUAAUGCUAUGAAGAAUUUUUUGUGACUUUAAGAAUAAUAUAAAAGUUUGUAAUAUCUAGUAUAAGUUAGGACUGACUGCUGCUCUACAAACCUAAAUGUGCUCCAAUUAACUAUGUGUUUCAUGGGACGGUGUUUUUCCACUACAUUGUAUCAUAAAGUGAUUGUAGUCUUCAGCACAUGUUUUUUUUUAUACAAAAUAGAAAGAGAAUUUAUUAAAUAUUUGUAUCUACUUUUACAAAUCAAAUAAGUGUACUAAAUUUCUUAACUCUAGACAAUCAACUAUCUGUCGUUUUUUUUAAUCUAAAAAUAGACUUUUGUGUUACCUUAUAUGGUAAUAUAGAUUGUCACAGUUUUAUAUGUUGUGAGUGAGCCGUUUAAGAACAAAGUUUUUGACACACUGUUGUGGGUAUUUUAGCAGAGUUUUAGUAUAAGUGCAAUAUUACUUUAGAAUAAAAUGUCUCUAGUCACAAAUUUCACCACAGAAUUCCUUCUUUUCUGAAAUGUCUCUGAAAAAAAAAUCUCUUAAAAAAUCUUUGUUUUUAUCUUUACAGUUGAAAUAGAUUCUGAUCACUUUUUGACUAACUUAUGAGUUUGAAAUGUAUAAAUUUUAAAUGGGACCAAAUUAACCUGUCACAUGACAUCUAUAACUAUUUCAUCUGUUGUCAGUUAUCUCCCUUCUAUCUGACAUAAUUUCAAGUCAUUGACCUACUUUUUACAGGAAUAUUUAUUCCAUAUAUUCACAUCUUCAUAUAGAAUUCUGUGGUGUUAUUUUGUCUAUUAAAGUGGUGCAAUAUUUAUUAUUUUUUACAUGUUUUAGUUUUUUUGGAGGACAAAGAAAUCUCAGAUUUUAUGACCUUUUGACCUUUGAACUUGUCAAAGUCAAGGUUGAAAUUUACAUAAUUUGUUUUAAUGUGUAAUGUAUAUAAUGAGUCAUAUUGUUCAUAAUUUAUAUAGUUUGAUGAAGUUUUGAAUUUAUAAUUUUAAAAAGUUCAUGAACUUAAAUUUGAAUAUAAUGAUUCAAUAUGUACUUAAAUUCAUCUGUAUAUAAUCAUAUAGUUUAGUUAAAUUAUUAUAAUAAUGGUCCUCAUCUUAUUAAUUGGCUGGCAUAAGCUACCCUUACAUUGGAUUCUUUUCAAGAGAAAUGUUCUCAAAACUAAUUUGGAUUUUUUAUUUUUUUUAUGAUAAUGGUUAUUCAUUCUUCAUUAUUUAGUAAAACGGUUAAAUUAGUCAAAUUCUGUAAUAAUCUGAAAAUUGUCAUAUUUGUACCUGGAGUUUUUCAUUGCCAGAUUAUUUUUUAAGAAACAAAUCGGUUGAGGACCAGACAUGAUUAUAUUUUGUAUAUAUGAAAUGCUAUUGAGAACAAGAGACUUCACACUGUACCUGAAGUUUGUUCAUCCAUGCUCAAGUCAUAUCAUCACAAAUAAAAAAAGGUCAGUUAAUGACAAA